rnacentral:lncRNA from 1 species
UUGGCUUUGCCAACCCUCCAGGUCUCUCCUGCAUGGCUAGGACCCAACGCCUAGGUCAUCCAGCACUCACCCCAACCAAAGCCAUGGGAAUUGCUGGGACCCGGAAGGUAGGGGGUGGCACAUGUGUGCCCUGUGCUCUGAAGCUGCCCCUACAGGCCCUGGAAUCCUCCCCGUGUCUCAACACACUACCCUCUGGGGAGUCAGUUCUCCCCAGAGUCCCCGUUCCUGGGCCUGGAGGGCUGCUUUGGGGCAGGAAACUUUGGCCACCAGGCCUCUGACCUGCACCAGGAGACACUGGGAGGUUUAGUCCCCAAACCCGCACAGAGCAGGACUGCAGCCUGAGGAAAGAGCAAGGAUUUCAGGAGAGAGGCCUGCGACAAGUGAGGAAAUAGAAACUUAAGAGAAAUACACACUUCUGAGAAACUGAAACGACAGGGGAAAGGAGGUCUCACUGAGCACCGUCCCAGCAUCCGGACACCACAGCGGCCCUUCGCUCCACGCAGAAAACCACACUUCUCAAACCUUCACUCAACACUUCCUUCCCCAAAGCCAGAAGAUGCACAAGGAGGAACAUGAGGUGGCUGUGCUGGGGCCACCCCCCAGCACCAUCCUUCCAAGGUCCACCGUGAUCAACAUCCACAGCGAGACCUCCGUGCCCGACCAUGUCGUCUGGUCCCUGUUCAACACCCUCUUCUUGAACUGGUGCUGUCUGGGCUUCAUAGCAUUCGCCUACUCCGUGAAGACUGGCACCCAGGCUCUCCCAGAAAGUGAGAAGGGAACUCACAGGUGACUUCACCCCAUGGUGGGGAGAACAGCCUGUGCUGGGGCCAAGGCAGAAGGAGGAUGAGCCCCGAGGCUCCUGGAGAGUCUGAGCCCGGUCUAGGGACAGGAAGAUGGUUGGCGACGUGACCGGGGCCCAGGCCUAUGCCUCCACCGCCAAGUGCCUGAACAUCUGGGCCCUGAUUCUGGGCAUCCUCAUGACCAUUGGAUUCAUCCUGUUACUGGUAUUCGGCUCUGUGACAGUCUACCAUAUUAUGUUACAGAUAAUACAGGAAAAACGGGGUUACUAGUAGCCGCCCAUAGCCUGCAACCUUUGCACUCCACUGUGCAAUGCUGGCCCUGCACGCUGGGGCUGUUGCCCCUGCCCCCUUGGUCCUGCCCCUAGAUACAGCAGUUUAUACCCACACACCUGUCUACAGUGUCAUUCAAUAAAGUGCACGUGCUUGUGA